GACGGAGGUUGCUAGCGUUGUUCGGAAUCACUGGGCGUAAAGGGCGCGUAGGCGGUCAUUCAAGUCGAGUGUGAAAGCCCGGGGCUCAACCUCGGAACUGCAUUCGAUACUGGAUGGCUUGAGGCCGGAAGAGGAGAGUGGAAUACCCAGUGUAGAGGUGAAAUUCGUAGAUAUUGGGUGGAACACAAGUGGCGAAAGCGGCUCUCUGGUCCGGUCCUGACGCUGAGGCGCGAAAGCGUGGGUAGCAAACAGG
rnacentral:rRNA from 1 species